rnacentral:rRNA from 1 species
UACGUAGGGGGCUAGCAUUGUCCGGAAUCAUUGGGCGUAAAGAGCGUGUAGGCGGCCCGGUAAGUCCGCUGUGAAAGUCGGGGGCUCAACCCUCGAAAGCCGGUGGAUACUGUCGGGCUAGAGUACUAAAGAGGGUCGCGGAAUUCCCGGUGUAGAGGUGAAAUUCGUAGAUAUCGGGAGGAACACCGGUGGCGAAGGCGGCGACCUGGGUAGAUACUGACGCUGAGGUGCGAAAGCGUGGGGAGCAAACAGG